rnacentral:rRNA from 1 species
UACGUAGGGUGCAAGCGUUAAUCGGAAUUACUGGGCGUAAAGCGUGCGCAGGCGGUUAUGCAAGACAGAUGUGAAAUCCCCGGGCUUAACCUGGGAACUGCAUUUGUGACUGCAUAGCUAGAGUACGGUAGAGGGGGAUGGAAUUCCGCGUGUAGCAGUGAAAUGCGUAGAUAUGCGGAGGAACACCGAUGGCGAAGGCAGUCCCCUGGACCUGUACUGACACUGAGGCACGAAAGCGUGGGGAGCAAACAGG